GUAUGAUAUUGUUUUGCUAUUUUAUACACUUUUCAAACUCGUUGAAAAGCAGGUCUGCCCUGCUUUAUCAAUGCCUACUAGUGGUAAAUAACAACACUUAUGUGAACGGAUUUGAUUCUCUUGGUCAUAGUUCAAUACACCGUUCGAUACACAUUUUUCCACAACUCUAGCCUGUUUUUUACUCCACACAAUGUUUAUAGUGAGGGAAAGAAGUAUUU